rnacentral:tRNA from 1 species
GGGUGAGUGGCCGAGCGGUCGAAGGCAUCCGUCUUGAAAACGGACGAACCCGGGAGGGUUCCGCGGGUUCGAAUCCCGCCUCACCCG